rnacentral:tRNA from 1 species
UGCAGGGUAGAGGAGCCUGGUCGUCCUCACCGGUCUCAUAAGCCGGGUGAUCGUGGGUUCGAAUCCCACCCCUGCCUCCA